GAUGCUCCCAGAGGCUGCUCUCAGUUCAGAAGCUUCCUGUAUUACACAAAGCCUGCCCUGCAGGUCCCGAAAAGGCAGAGGAUGGGAAAACACAUCAUAGAGUCAGCUUGUGAUAUCACGCAUCAUCUUUAAGAAAGCAUUUGUGGAGCUUCACGUAAAGCCCCUGUGCCUCUAACGUGGGCCCAUACCUGGGGAAAAUAUUUGGAUAGAUUUUAUCUGGCAAAAGGCCAAGGAAGCCAGCCAAGAUGAGAUCUGUUCCUCAGACUCACUCAUUGCAGCUCCACAAGGGCUCACCUCAUGGACAUGCUGCAAGAACAGGUUCAUGUAACAACAGUAACCCUAUGAGGUAGAUGCUCCCAUUGCAAGCUGUAACUCUGCAGAGAUCAAGUCAAUGCCCAAGAUCAUUUGCGCUGGGGAAAGCUAUUCCAGCUGUCCCGUGCAGAGACGUGCUUGGCAAGGAGCAGAAGUUGCAGGCCAACAACUGCAUGUGGGGGCAAAUCCACCAGCUUCAGUCAAGCCUCGGAUGACUGAGCUCCCAGCUGACAACUUGAUUACAGACUUGUGAGAGACCCUUAGCCAGACCCACUCCAGGAGUAUGUGUUACCUGGAUAUCACCUGGCCACUUGUGACCCUAACAGAAGCAAUGAAUAAAUCUGGAAGCAAAAACAAACAGAGAAGCCAGAGAAGAAGCUGACUCCCCCCAACUCCAGAGAGAAGCAGGUGAAGCAGGUGUCCCAGGCCUAGCCAACCAGAGCACCAUGACAGUGACAGGCUCAGGAAGAAGCACACAGUCCAAGUGGAGUCAGCAAGAUCCAGGUCUCAGGAGCCCUCGGGGAAGGUUUGGUGGCUGCAGAAAGGACUUUCUCUGAGAAUCCAGAAGUGACAUCAGGGAAGAACCUCAAAGGAUCCAUGGUCCCCCAACACAGAGCAAGUGACUGCAGCUCCUAGAAUCUCUUCCUUCAGGGAGGCCCAGAGAAAUUAAGUGUUAAGAGGCCUUACCCUCAGACAACAUCUUCUCUCAGCCUCUGUGGCUACAGUAUGUACAGUGUGCUGAGUGUGGAAGGACCUCUCUCCCCAUUAAAUCUGUAGUGCGAUCACAUGGAAGGCAUCUGAGGACCUAGAGCAAGGAAACAUGGCUAUCCUGCCCCACUGUGGUCCCGAUCUGGGUACUGAAUCAGCAUCUUCCAAGGAUUUUUAAAAUAGAAACCCCCAGUUCUCAGCCUACACCAAUGAAUCAGAAUCUCUCAGGAUGGGGCUCAGGGAAGCUGUGUUUUUAAAAACUCCAAGUACCUUACUUACCUUCUCACCAUCAUGAAAAUAGAAAUGAACAAAAUUAACAAGGCAACAAUUUCCAGGCACUGGACCAGAGGCACAGUGCAGAACUGUGAUCUCUGAGAGGAGGGCAACACUCAAGGGAGGGAGACCUGUGUUUGCCCAGGUUCUGCCCAGGUGAAGCACAGGGAGGGGAAACCCAGGCAGACCACAGUGGUCUGAUGGAGCUGAGCAGAAUUCGGAGCUUGGGCUGCUGAAGUGGCUGGCAUAUGUGGGGGCAGAAAACAGGAAAGGAAAGCUGCAGAGGGAGAGAACAAAGACCCCAGAAAUGUGUAUGCGCAUGUCCUGUGGGCUGUUGGUUGAAGCCCGGGCUUUGAAGAACAGAGCAAGACUUGGUGGAGCCUAGCAGAGAGCAGCUGCUAAGGGCCUGGGAACAGAAUGGAAACAUAGGGAGACUCUCUGCAGGGCUGGGAGUUCCAGCUCAGCUAGAAUGGAGAAACUCUGGUGUGCAUCUCAGUGGAGACUGCAUAAAGGCCAUGUAUUAGGAAUAAAGACUACGCUUCUAGGAGAAGGACUACACCCUAGCACAGAGUUUCUUGGUAUCAGCAAUACUAGCAUUUUAAACAGGUCAUUUUUAUUUUCCCCUCCGGAGACAGAGUUUCACUCUUGUU
rnacentral:lncRNA from 1 species